UACGUAGGGGGCCAGCGUUGUUCGGAAUUACUGGGCGUAAAGAGUGCGUAGGCGGUGCGGUGUGUUCGGUGUGAAAUCUCCCGGCUCAACCGGGAGGGGCCGUCGAAAACUGCCGCGCUUAGGGUACGGGAGAGGGGAGUGGAAUUCCCGGUGUAGCGGUGAAAUGCGUAGAGAUCGGGAGGAACACCAGCGACGAAGGUGGCUCCCUGGACCGGCAUUGACGCUGAGGCGCGAAAGCUAGGGGAGCAAACGGG
rnacentral:rRNA from 1 species